rnacentral:lncRNA from 12 species
UUGUGAUCCCAGGAGUCGGGAUCGAGUCCCACAUUGGGCUCUCUGCGAGGAGCCUGUUUCUCCCUCUAUGUCUCUGCCUCUCUUUCUGUGUCUCUCAUGAAUAAAAUCUUAAAAAAAGAAAGAGAAAGAAAGAAAGAAAGAAAGAAAGAAAGAAAGAAAGAAAGAAAAAGAAAAUCUUUAAAAAAAGAAAAUCCUUAAUCUGACAAUCCCAAGACACUCUAUAUUUUGCAGUCCCCAGCAAGUCCCUUUCUGCUUCAACUAAAUUGAUUUGAUUUUUAUCUUCUACAUAUAAUCUUGUCAUUCCCACACUUUGUCUUCAUAUCCUAUUGUCUUCCUCUGGAAUCUGCAUUAUGAUUUCCCCCUAGUUUGUGUUUAUCACUCUUUAUGAUUUAUCCCACACCAAGCAAAUCAUUCUAUUAUUCAGUUUUUUUAAACUGAUCACAUAUUUGCUUUAUGGCAUAUACUUUUAUAAUUUUCAGUGCAAGUUUUUAUUUUUUUUCCAACUGGAAAUAAUAGCUUUUCAAUACAGGGAUUAUGUUGGUUCGAAGUUACAGUCAUUGAAAAGUUGAAAAAAGUUUUAAAUAUGUGACAACCUUGUUUAAAGAAUAACUUUUUUUUCCCUUUUGAUGUCCACAGCCAUGCCAUCAUUUGUUAGAUGAGAAUGUGAGUCAACACAAUAAUGAUGAAUGAAUGUACAGCUUUUUGUAAAGUCAAAGAAGCAACCCUGUGAGGCUAGGCUAUUAUUCAGCAGUGUUGGGAGUUUUCUCUUCUAAUUUCAGCUUUUUUCAGGGUGAAAGAGAGAAGUAGAUGGAAUAUCACCUUUUCCACACCCUUCUUCAUCCUUAGGAAAAAGGAGGAAAAAAACAAAUAAUAUUAUGUAGCUUCCAUCUAGAAUUCAUUUCUCUGUUCCUCAUCAGAAUAUGAUGGAAGCUGGAGAGUCAUGAAGUCGCCCAUGGUCAUUACCUGUUGCCAUCCAUUACAGAUUCACAGGUGGCACCUGGUGUCACAUUUGGAGAGGCAGUUGUCAAGGGAACGAGGCUCUGCGCCGACCUGGGAGGCAGGCUAAGCUUUCCCCAUCUAGGGAAGCUACUCCUGAAGGGAGAGGUGCCCUAGCCCUCAAGAAAUCUCUCCCUCCUAUCAUUUGGUAAGGAAAGGAAUUCUUUUGUUUUGUUUUGUUUUAAAGGUAAACUUUAAUUUUACAAUAAAAUCCACCCCUAAACCUGCCCU